UACGUAGGGUGCAAGCGUUAAUCGGAAUUACUGGGCGUAAAGCGUGCGCAGGCGGUUUUGUAAGCCAGAUGUGAAAGCCCCGGGCUUAACCUGGGAAUGGCAUUUGGGACUGCAAGGCUGGAGUGUGGCAGAGGAGACUGGAAUUCCUGGUGUAGCAGUGAAAUGCGUAGAUAUCAGGAGGAAUACCGAUGGCGAAGGCAGGUCUCUGGGCUGACACUGACGCUCAUGCACGAAAGCGUGGGGAGCAAACAGG
rnacentral:rRNA from 1 species